CUCCUGCCCACGUGAAGGAAGAAGGCGCAGUGGGGCUGAGGCCUCACUAGGGCACCCACACGGAGCGCUGCGCUCAGCCUUCUGGACCCGGUACCUCCCCAGGCUCUGAGGACAGCAGCAGCCCCAGGACGGACGGAGUUCUUCGGGCUGGGAAGUCCAAGAUCAAGGCACUACCAUGUGAUGCAGGCAGAAGGUGGAAGGACAAAAGGGAAGAAACCUCAUGUCCCCACAUGGUGGAAAAGCAGAAGUGCAAGAGAGAACCAGGAUCUUACUUUGUCACCCAGGCUGGAAUGCAGUGGCCCAAUCAUGGCUUACUGCAGCCUCGACCUCCUGCACUCAAGCGAUCCUCCCACCUCAGCGUCUGGAGUAGCUGGGACCACAGGCGUGUGCCAUCACACCUUACAAAUUUUUGUGUAUUUUGUACAGAUGGGGCUUCACCAUGUUGCUCAGGCUGGUCUCAAACUCCUGGGCUAAAACAAUCUGUCUGCCUCAGCCUUCCAAAGUGCUGAGAU
rnacentral:lncRNA from 10 species